UACGGGGGGAGCAAGCGUUGUUCAGAUUUACUGGGCGUAAAGGGCGCGUAGGCGGUCGUGACAAGUCACUUGUGAAAUCUCCGGGCUUAACUCGGAACGGUCAAGUGAUACUGUCGGACUAGAGUACAGAAGGGGCAACUGGAAUUCUCGGUGCAGCGGUGAAAUGCGUAGAUAUCGAGAGGAACACCUGCGGCGAAGGCGGGUUGCUGGGCUGAUACUGACGCUGAGGCGCGAAAGCCAGGGGAGCGAACGGG
rnacentral:rRNA from 1 species